UUACAUCCACCUGCCUUUUUAUCUGUGGUAGAGAAUCUGCAGUUCGAAAUGAACUACAUAAAGACUUCAUUGUGAGACAUGAAGAAUGCUUUGGCUAAACGUGAAAACAUGUACACGUUAACCAACACACAGAUCAGCUUUCAGUCUUGCAAUCACGGAGAAACCAAGACAAAGAGGCCCUUUCUUUCCCUUAAAGUCUCCUGGACGAAGCAUCAAGGUCCAAGAGCCAUUGGAGGGCCUGACAAGAACCUGUUCAGUGUUACUCACUUUCACUGUGUCUCUUUUGGUGUCUCCCUCUGUACCUACUCUACUUGUUGAUCCUUCCGUCUCUGUCUCUCAACCAUGGCACCUCAGGCUCUCAAACUGGACCUCUCACCUUUUGAUGACCUCUUCCAGGCUGCUCUUCAUCUUCGCCAUCUCGCCGAGGUUCUCCAUGGUCAUCUUGCUGUCCCCCUCCAGCUUCCUGCGGCUUUUCUCUAGGUCGCUCCUCUGUUUCCUCUCCUGCUCCACUAUAUUUGCUUUGAGAUCUGUAACCAAACGGAGCAGUGAUGAUGCAACAUAGUUCCAAGGGUGAGUAAGACUUGGGAAGCUUACUAACAAAAUUAACAUUAUAAAAUUCAUAUUUAUACUUUAAAACAAACAAUUUGGAUUACUUUCAUCAUAGUCACAGAACUACAGCAAUGAAUUACUGUUUAUACUUCUACACAUAAAUAAAAUACUGCACUGGACAAACUGAAGGGAGCAGUUCUCUCCCACUUGAGAGAAAAUCCCCAUCUGUAUCUGGCAGUUGGGAUGGCUGCUAUAUGUGACAUUUGAAAAGUUUAUAUUCUAUUUCCUUAUGUCAAUAUAUAGCAUAGACUUUAAAGUAAGCAUCCAAUUUUGGGUGGGCUGGCCAUAAGCCAUAUACAUUUACCGUGUUGGUAAAGAAAGGUUGACAUACACGUACAGUAAUUGUACAGAAAUAGUACAGAUUAUUUUAAAAUAUACUCACAUCUUCUGCUUGCACCUGUAACUUGGCCUUCUCUUUGGUUAAGAGGUUUACUGUCUCCUCCUCAGACUGCAGGUCUUCAAUAGCUUGCUGUGACAAAUUAAAUCAAAAUUAUUUUUAUGGCUUUAACUUUCAAAUUUAUAAUGUUCCAAGGCAAAGCAAAGUAUUGAAAGGCCAGAGAUAUUGAAGCCCCCCAGCAUAUACGUAUCUGUCCUAAGUGGUCUUGAGUUUCAUCACAAGUACCAUCACUGUAACAUAAACACACACAUUUUUGCGCAUCUGCAAUCAAUUCGGGGUGUUCGAGCCAUGCAAUAUUAAUCCAAUUACACAACGGUGAGGAACCAGAACCUGGAACCAGAUCUCAUCUCAAUAUCCAUGAUCCAUGAUCUUUUAAAUUGAAGUGAUACUUCAUAUCACACUGCUUGCAGAGUAAGUGUCACAGCCCUUGAGCCUGUGAAUGUAUUUAUGGAGCAGUUGGAAGGGCAGUCGGCAACUAAACUAAAUCACAGGGACAGAUUUAAUGAAAAUCUAUUUGCUACUGUUAUGCAUCUGGCCUGAAUUAGUGAACAACUUUCUGUAGCCAUCAAGACCAGCCAUAAUGGGCAGGGAGGGCAAAUUGCUUUAUUUUCUUGAGCAAAUGUAACAUGCUACAUUGUUUUGAAAGUGCCGCAGGAAUGUGCAAAGAGUGGGAGCAGAUUUAAUACAGGCCUGGGGUUUGGUUGCUCAUAUGGUUUGAUUUUUCUCAGGUUAUGUUUUCUUUCCUGUCAGUUUUAGUUAAACACUUUCAUUUCAUAAAAUAUAUUGAUCGCAAAAUAAGGAUUCCAUCCACUUUAUAGUGUGGCUAUAUUUAUCAGUAAAAAGGAAUGGAUAAAUAAAUAAGUGGCAAAUUGAGACUUCAAUGGACCUGUGCCGCAAUCUUUGGUACAUUCCUUAUAAAAACAGAAAGAUUAUGAAGAAUCAAGAACAGCUUUCUAUCCUUUGACUGUCUUUUGGUAUACUAUGGGUCAUAGAAUUAUCAGAAUAAAUUAUCAGAAGAAUGAUAUCAACCUCAGCCUCACCAUCCAGAUAAAGAGGUAUAAUUUAAUUUGCCGCUAAGUAACCUUGAUAUCUAGCAUAUUAUAUCGUCAGAACAUAUUGUAUCUGCCAGAUGGGCGAGCUUGCGGCCACACAGAUGUCAUCAGCUGAAUAUUUACUGUCCCCUUGGUGUGACCCUGAUACUGCAGCAUCAUUGGAAAUCCCAAAACCAAACAAUUAAACAUCUGCUUCAGCACACUGUAAAAUCACAGACAAAAAACAUGCGCACACACAGAUGCACAUGUACAAACACUCCCAUGUACACUAAAAACAGAUACAUAUGGCACACAAAGAACUUUCAAUACCUUGCAUGCCAGAGUCUGUUUGUCACUGCAAGGUAUGAAAAUAGGACAGGAAGCUUUACCACUGGUAUUGAAUUAAUCACAUUUGUUUCCUAUUCUGCGAUUUUGCAAAAGAUAAAUAGAAAACUGUGAACCUAUGUUAAGUUUGCUUCUAAAAUGUUUCAAGCCCAGGUACUACAGUCAAUGGAUCUGAGAAGCCAACUGGGCCAGGUCUGGUAAUGUAGUAUUCUCUGUAAGCACACAGGUUCAUUGUGGUGUCUUACCCUCUCAAAUACUAUAAUGUGAAAAGAUUCUGGGUUUUCCCCUUUUGUUGUGUGACCAAAAACUCAGCUUAAAGACGCCUGUUCUUAUGUCUUCACAGAUUUAUAGAGAACACACACAGCACAGGGAGGCACACAUUCGUGUUUUUUGCUAACAGCUAAAUAGCUCUUUUUUAUGACAAGGCAGUGAGGGUUUGCAUAGCUGGGAUAAAAUUCUCAGUUUACCACAAGGUGACCACAGUUGGCAACACAUCAAAAGAGAAACAUUAUCGCUACUGGAAUCACCGCUGCCAAAGAAUUUUUUUCUUCUUCCAUGACUACGGAAACAGGGUGUAUCUUAUUAUCAAAGUAGAUGAACUGGGUCACCAAUGCCAAUUGUGGCAGUGAUGAAUUACACAUCUAUUUUCCAUUGAGGAGAAGAGAUCCACUAAUAUCCCCUAUCUUCUAUUUCACGUGUUGAAAAGAAAAAGAAAAACGGACCAAAAAAAAAACCUUUUGUUAUAAAUGAAGUCGUAUGACUUCUAAAUGCAAUGAUAAUAAACAUAAAUAAUAUCUAUAAUAUUAAGUAAAUCAAUGAAUGUAAUAAUAUAAUUUGAAUUUAACAUUAAAUUCACUGUUAGAUGUCAAUGUCGUAACUGAAGGAAUCACUUAGUAGUAGUUAAGAUUAUUUCAUGUAGUGUCAGUCAUAGAAGAAGCCAACAUUUCAUCAGGAUAAAUAAAACUUCCCUCCUAUCAUAGAUUAUAAUACGCUCCAUAAAUUUUUAAACAAUUUGAAAAUAGUAUUAACUCAUGCCCAUUAAAAUUUCAAUAGCGUUUUAAAAUGUUAUGCCAGUUUAUCAAGACAAUCAUUCAAGUCCAGGUACACUGGCAACAUAUAAAUUACUGGCCAUUUUAAAUGUCUGUACAUAGACUAUGAAUCAAUGAAACAAAAAGCCAAAGCUCUAGCAUCGUUAUAUUCAUCACUAGAUAAUUAGCUUGUGCUAUCCAUUAUUCUAUCAAGUCAGCUAUCUGGUUGGCAAGACUUUGGGCAUGCUGAGAAAGCUAGUUAGAAUCAUUUGAUAUAUGCUGUACAACUUGGGCAUACCUAGCUCACCUAGCUUGACCCUAGCAAGCCAGGUAGUGAGCGAAACAGUCAGUGGCCAUUGGGGACAAGUGGCCCCAUCAAGCUCGACUGAUGUCACAGGAAGAAUGAUUUUGUUCACAUACUGCACACAUUGUUUGAUAGACACUGCAGCUCUUUCUCACCUGGCUCAGCUCCACCAGGUGUUCCUUCUCUUUCUGCAACUUCUGUAUAACGUCUUCUCGCUGCGAAAGCUCCGCUGACAGCUUCUGGACAUUUAAGUCUGAAGACUAGGGAGGACAAGGAAAACCAGAUAUUUAAAAUAAUAUAAUUUCACCAUUCAGUUAUGUGUAUACAUGUGCAUGGUGGCUCUUGGAUGGUGUUCCCAGUGCAGUGACAAGUAGGGCUGGGAAAGUUGCAUAGUGACAAGUACACUGACAAAAAAUGUCUGUCUUAACAAAUGUUUUAGUCUUGUAAUGAGAAUCUUAUUUGUUUGUAUUUCAAGUAGAAAAUAUUGACUUGUUUUAGGUUACUGUUUGCUUGACAAGAGAAAUCUGCUUACUCUAUCUUGAAAUGGCAAUAUUUUUUGUCUUAAUUAGCUAAAAAGUAAUAGAAAUACAAUUUAAAGUCUGAAUAUACUGUAAGACUAAAAUACUUGUUGAGAUUGACUUUUUUAGUUUUGCAGUGUAAUAGGAAAGAAGAACUCCAGUCCACAGACCCAACUUCAUUACAAAAUUGAAACUCCAACAGUCCAUCAGAUUAUACAUCUGGAGGCUGCCAAGUGAUAUAUCCCAUUGACUUGUUCAUAGUGCUAUUUUCAUCGAGGAAGAAAUCUGAACGGUGCCAGUGCUGCCUGUGGUUUCAGUUGACAGGACGUGCCCAGUCUCACCACUCAGAAGUUGGCUAAUGCAGUUACAGUACGGCAGCAUUUAAACUGGGGGAAUGAAGCUAGGGGACAGGUCCACAAACAAACUUCACAUUGCCAAUACCAAAGUGUAUGCUUUGCAGCUUAUGUACAGUAGGUAUGAGCCAUUGCAGUGUUAAUUCAAGUAAUU